GUUUGUUUCAGCAGCACAUAUUCUAAAAUUGGAACUAUACAGACAAGACUAGCAUGGCCCCUGUACAAGGAUGACAAGCAAAUUUGUGAAGCACUCUUUAUUUUU